AACGAACGCUGGCGGCAGGCCUAACACAUGCAAGUCGAACGCCCCGCAAGGGGAGUGGCGCACGGGUGAGUAACGCGUGGGAAUAUGCCCUUCGGUUCGGAAUAACACAGGGAAACUUGUGCUAAUACCGGAUACGGUCUACGGACGAAAGAUUUAUCGCCGAAGGAGUAGCCCGCGUAGGAUUAGCUAGUUGGUGAGGUAAGGGCUCACCAAGGCGACGAUCCUUAGCUGGUCUGAGAGGAUGAUCAGCCACACUGGGACUGAGACACGGCCCAGACUCCUACGGGAGGCAGCAGUGGGGAAUAUUGGACAAUGGGCGAAAGCCUGAUCCAGCCAUGCCGCGUGAGUGAUGAAGGCCUUAGGGUUGUAAAGCUCUUUCGCCAGGGAAGAUAAUGACGGUACCUGGAAAAGAAGCCUCGGCUAACUCCGUGCCAGCCGCCGCCGUAAGAC
rnacentral:rRNA from 1 species